GAUGAACGCUGGCGGCGUGCCUAAUACAUGCAAGUCGAGCGAACAGAUAAGGAGCUUGCUCCUUUGACGUUAGCGGCGGACGGGUGAGUAACACGUGGAUAACCUACCUAUAAGACUGGGAUAACUUCGGGAAACCGGAGCUAAUACCGGAUAACAUAUUGAACCGCAUGGUUCAAUAGUGAAAGGCGGCUUUGCUGUCACUUAUAGAUGGAUCCGCGCCGUAUUAGCUAGUUGGUAAGGUAACGGCUUACCAAGGCAACGAUACGUAGCCGACCUGAGAGGGUGAUCGGCCACACUGGAACUGAGACACGGUCCAGACUCCUACGGGAGGCAGCAGUAGGGAAUCUUCCGCAAUGGGCGAAAGCCUGACGGAGCAACGCCGCGUGAGUGAUGAAGGUCUUCGGAUCGUAAAACUCUGUUAGCAGGGAAGAACAAAUGUGUAAGUAACUGUGCACAUCUUGACGGUACCUGAUCAGAAAGCCACGGCUAACUACGUG
rnacentral:rRNA from 1 species